rnacentral:misc_RNA from 1 species
GAUGAAGAACGCAGCGAAAUGCGAUAAGUAAUGUGAAUUGCAGAAUUCAGUGAAUCAUCGAAUCUUUGAACGCACAUUGCGCCCGCCAGCAUUCUGGCGGGCAUGCCUGUUCGAGCGUCAUUUCAACCCUCGCUGCCCAUCUGGGCAGCGGUGUUGGGGACCGGCACCACCGGCGAAGCCCUUAGGGGCCCAGCCGGCGCCGCCCCCGAAAUACAGUGGCGGUCUCGCUGCAGCCUCCCUUGCGUAGUAGCACACCUCGCACCGGAGCGCAGCGCGGCCACGCCGUAAAACCCCCGACUUUCUGAGUUUGACCUCGAAUCAGGUAGGAAUACCCGCUGAACUUAAGCAUAUCAAUAAGCGGAGGA